rnacentral:rRNA from 1 species
AAGUGCUGUGAGGCAUUGAGCUAACUGAUACUAAUUGCCCGUGAGGCUUAACCAUACAACACCCAAGGGGUUU